AGCGAACGCUGGCGGCGGGCUUAACACAUGCAAGUCGAACGGUCAUCCUCGGAUCUCAUUGGCAGACGGGGGAGUAACACGUGGGAACGUACCCUUCGGUUCGGAAUAACUCAGGGCAACUUGAGCUACUACCGGAUACGUCCUUUUGGGGAGAGGUUUACUGCCGAAGGAUCGGUCCGCGUCUGAUUAGCUUGUUGGUGGGGUGACGGCCUACCAAGGCGUCGUGCAGUAGCGGAUCUGAGAGGAUGAUCAGCCACGCUGGGACUGAGACACGGCCGAGAGUCAUACGGGAGGAAGGAGUGGGGAAUAUUGGAGCAUGGGCGCGAGACUGAUCCAGCCCUGCGGGGUGAGUGAUGAAGGCGUUAGGGUUGUAAAGCUGUUUUGUUCGUGACGAUAAUGACGGUACCGGAAGAAUAAGCCCCGGCUAACUUCGUG
rnacentral:rRNA from 1 species